ensembl:lncRNA
CCCGAGGCUGGGUGGGCGUGGCUUGGACCCUCGCCCCGCCUCUCGACCUGGGCGGUGGUCGGAGGCGUGGCUGCGGGUCUAUGAGCUACCGUACCCCCUCAGAGUCGCUCAAGGCAAGAAGACCCAGAGACAGCAAGACUGAAACAAAAAGCAAAGGAGGUGCCUGCUUCCUAGAAGUGGCAGCUGUGCCUGACUAAUUGAGUUGCAGUAAACCCAGUUGUCCAGAAACGUAAGUCACGCCAACUAAAACAUGUCAUCUUGUUCCUUAACGUAUGUACAGGUCCCCCAAUGCAAAAUAUAGUCAUGACAUGACAAAGUGUCCACUGAAAACGUUGAAAGAGUAUUUGAGAUUCAAGGAUCCAGUGAAUAACUAGAUCACAUUUGAAAUUUUAUUUUAUGAAAAUAAGUAGAUAGGAAACUUGAAUGAUUACUCAUUGGAAAAUGAUUGCUUACCCCAUUUUGAAUGCCUUGCAGUGACACAUGGGGGAAUAGGCUGUUGAAAUGGCCCUUUAAGUUGUGUUUUACUCAAAAGUGACUGUGAAAUUCUUUGAAUAUUUAUGAUUUAUGCUGAGUACCAUACAACCUUCAAUAGCUUUCAGAUUUUUAUCCUUGUAAGUAAUGUUUGAAAUGUCUAUCAUAUUCUGAUUUCUGAGUGGUUAAUUAUUCAGGUAAAUGUUAAGUACCUUUCUCUAAGAGGAGAGGGAAUGGGAAAAAGCACAUUGCACAGGAAAGCAAAAUUAAUUCACCGUGGUGAUCAGUAAGAUAACCACUGAUCAGGGUCAUCGUUACAGAAAUUUCUUUUACUAUUGUUCCCCAAAAGGUGAAAUCGUUAACAACCAUGGUUGUUUUUUAGAUCCACUAGAGGGAGUAGUGUUGUACAGAUAGGUACUUUUAAAAAGAUCUGUUUGUCAUUGAGUUGGUAAAUAAAUUUGUGGUAAUAGUAUUAUCA